rnacentral:lncRNA from 1 species
AUUGUUACGCGAUACUACACUCAUAAGAGUCUCUCUUAAGAAUAUUUUUGGAAUACGCGUAGUCAUUUAUCCGAUAAUAUCCGAAAGAUGGGAUGAUGACUAUGGGAACCUCUUGUAGAACAUGUUUGCCAAGUUUAAACCCUAGUACGCUCCCUUUGGGUGGUUCUUAACCGAGACUCCAUGCUCGUGACUUGAAACAAACCCUUGAUUCAUGGUUGAUCCGUUCAUGGGUCCUUAAU